AGAGUUUGAUCAUGGCUCAGGACGAACGCUGGCGGCGUGCCUAACACAUGCAAGUCGAGCGGAGAUAAGCGGAAGGUAACUGAAGCUUAUCUUAGCGGCGGACGGGUGAGUAACACGUGGGCAACCUGCCUUGAAGUGGGGGAUAACACCGGGAAAUCGGUGCUAAUACCGCAUAACAUACACAAACUGCAUGGUAAGUGUAUCAAAGGAGCAAUCCGCUUUAAGAUGGGCCCGCGGCUGAUUAGCUAGUUGGUAAGGUAACGGCUUACCAAGGCGACGAUCAGUAGCCGACCUGAGAGGGUGACCGGCCACACUGGAACUGAGACACGGCCCAGACUCCUACGGGAGGCAGCAGUGGGGAAUAUUGCGCAAUGGGGGGAACCCUGACGCAGCAACGCCGCGUGGAGGAAGAAGGUCUUCGGAUUGUAAACUCCUGUCUUCUGGGACGAAUAAUGACGGUACCAGAGGAGGAAGCCACGGCUAACUACGUGCCAGCAGCCGCGGUAAUACGUAGGUGGCGAGCGUUGUCCGGAAUUACUGGGCGUAAAGGGCGCGUAGGCGGCUUUUUAAGUUAGAUGUGAAAACCCGGGGCUUAACUCCGGGCGUGCAUUUAAAACUGGAGAGCUUGAGUGCAGGAGAGGUAAGUGGAAUUCCUAGUGUAGCGGUGAAAUGCGUAGAUAUUAGGAGGAACACCAGUGGCGAAGGCGACUUACUGGACUGUAACUGACGCUGAGGCGCGAAAGCGUGGGGAGCAAACAGGAUUAGAUACCCUGGUAGUCCACGCUGUAAACGAUGGAUACUAGGUGUGGGAGGUAUCGACCCCUUCCGUGCCGCAGUUAACGCAAUAAGUAUCCCGCCUGGGGAGUACGGCCGCAAGGUUGAAACUUAAAUGAAUUGACGG
rnacentral:rRNA from 1 species